AUUUUGAUAUCUUUUUAUAUUUUAAUAUUUCAAAAAUGCUUUUAUAUGUCUAAUGUUCUUUCUAAUGUUUUUAUGUUUCAAUAUUCGAAAUUCUAGCAAUGUCAUCUUUAUAUCAUAUUAACGUCUUUUAAGAUUAAUCGUAUAGAGGUUACAUACAUAUUUUUUUAUUUAAUACUAGUGUUUUAUUGGUACCGUAGCCCAUGGGGAUCAAUACAAGAAUCCAGUCAUAGGCAGUCGCGAUACGUACCCGUACCAGAUUACAAUACGCCCCACUGCCAAUGCAGUACUCGUCUACUUCAUCAUUACGAUGCCCUGUCCCUUCAAAUUAUGGAGGUUACAAGUAGGAGCACCAUUUUACUAUAUUAAAAAGUUUCCACUGAAAGGAAGCCAAUUGAAGAUGCGUCGUAGUGGCAAGCCUUUUUUUUUAUUGCUUACAUGCGUGGACGAGCUCACAGCCCACCUAGUGUUAAGUGGUUACUGGAGCCCAUAGACAUCUACGACGUAAAUGCGCCACCCACCUUGAGAUAUAAGUUCUAAGGUCUCAGUAUAGAUACAACGGCUGCCCCACCCUUCAAACCGAAACGCAUUACUGCUUCACGGCAGAAAUAGACAAGGUGGUGGUGCCUACCCGCGCGUACUCUCAAGAGGCCCUAUCACCAGUAUAAAAGUGGAAGGAUUUCAUAAAUAGUGCCGUAACCACACUUCACUUCAAUUAAGCACAUGUCAAUUUGUUUAAAACUGGUACAUUCAUAUCAUUUCGACUUCCUACACUAGCGCUGUUUUGUUGAGCCUUCCAACAAUAACUUGCUGGUUACAGGAGAACUUUUUCAACUUUUCCUCUUUUUUUUAUUGCUUAGAUGGAUGGACGAGCUCACAGCCCACCUGGUGUUAAGUGGUUACUGGAGCCCAUAGACAUUUACAACGUAAAUGCGCCACCCACCUAGAGAUACAAGUUCUAAGGUCUCAAGUAUAGUUACAACGGCUACCCCACCCUUCGAACCGAAACGCAUUACUGCUUCACGGCGGAAAUGGGCGGGGUGGUGGUACCUACCCGUGCGGACUCCCAAGAGGUCCUACCACCAGUGAUUACGCAAAUUAUAAUUUUGCGGAUUUGAUUUUUAUUACACGAUGUUAUUCCUUCACCGUGGAAGUCAAUCGUGAACAAUAUGUUGAGUACGUAUUUCAUUAGAAAAAUUGGUACCCGCCUGCGGGAUUCGAACACCGGUGCUACAUACGAAUGCAUCGGACGUCUUAUCCUUUAGGCCACGACGACUUCAAAAGUCCUCCUUAUAAGAUAGUGCUCUUUACCUCUACCGUCCAUACUUCAAAUCUACCUACAUACAUCCAAAACAAUAUCGUUAUCUAUUAUUCAUCAUGUAUAAUAAUAUGCAUUAUUUACAAUCACUGAUAUUGCGUACUUCAUACUAUUACGUUACUCACGUGUCUGUGUUGUCCCCAAUGAGAAUUAUCUUUUAUCAAUACUAGCUUUACCACCUUUGCUACAGCGAUAACCGCCUAAUACAUUGAUUGAUUUAUAAGAUUCAUAUCUUAAGAUUAAUAAUUCGUUAUUUCUUGUGUAAAAUAAUAAUAAAAAAUGCUUUAGAAAUUCGAAUAUAAAUAAAUAAAUAAAUAUUUACUUACAAUCACGCCACGUUAACCGGCCCCGUGAUAAGUUCGUAAAGAACUUGUGUUACAGGUACCAGAUAACGGAUAUAAAUGUAAGAUUUUUAUUAUACACAUACAUAUAUUUAAUAUACAUCCAUAACCCUGAAAAAGACAUUUAUAUUUAUCAUACAAAAAUAUCUUCCCUUGGCGGGAUUCGAACCCGCGACCCCCUUGUGUAGUGACCAUGUCACUUACCACUACACCAGACGGCCGUUAAAUGUUUAUGUAUUUCAUGUUUUGGUGAUAAGUAUAGAAAACUAGUGAGAGACCCGCAGCUGUAUCACGUAUUUCGCAGACAAUUAGCUGAAGACAAAUAUUGUGCAAAUAUUGCUGUCAACUGUCCAUUUCGUAUUACGGACUUACAACAAAAAAGCAGAUAGCGGACCAUCACUAGUGCUGCCUCUGCAGAGCGAUUUGUGAAACUUUAGUGCAUUCUUUUCCAUACAACUAACAACAACUGGCCUAAAGUCGGUAUUACGGAUGCUUUUGUGUGCCACACAACAGCAGAUAUUUAGCAAUUUCGUUUGUCAAAUUUGCGACACCUUUUGUAUCUGGUGCUGAAUUGUUGCUAACUAUCUGCAAGUGUAAAAUUUGUGAAAUUAAAUUAUUUUAACUUGAUUUAGGUAUGUACUAUGGACAGAGCUCAAAUAAUAAAUGGGGCUUUGGAGUCUAAGGAACUUAGGUCGGAUACAUACGAAUUAGUGCGUUUGCGACGCUGUCUUCGUGAUCAAGCCUGACCCCUUAAUCUAUCGGAAAGUUUGUUCAGAACACAUUACAGAAUUUCGAAACAUCAAUAUUUACAAUUGUGCUCUGAAUUAAAGCCGUUAAUAACCUAGAUCAUCAAGACGAACAAGAAUAGAAAGUAAAAUGCAAGGUGUUAACAGCAUUGCAAAAUUUCAUACCAGAAACCUGUGGGAAUGAGCUUUUUGCAUUUUGAGUUAAACUGUAGUAAAUCCAAUGCCAUUAGGGAAGUGGCUAUGGCAUUAAACAAUCUUCCAGUUUUAUUAAAACAUUUAAAGUUUCUGCAAACAGUACAAUGGGUCACAAGUUAUUAUAAAUGUGUAAGUUAAAUAAUUAUCUUAUAGUAUAGAGCACAAGAGUUCCACUGAUUUUACAAUUUCCAUGAGUCAAUCAUAUAGAUCAGUUACUUAUAUUCUUGAAGCUUUAUAACUAUAGCUAUAUUUAGCUAUAUAUAGCUAUAUUUUAAACAGAGUUCUGAGAAAUGUCAAGUCCUGGUGAAACUGGAAAGGCCUUCAGGCCACCAUUAAUCUUCCCUACAUAAUUUUUUUUUAAUUCAAAAUUUGUCUUAUUUUUAUAGUACAUAUAUAUUUGAACAAUAAUAAUUUUGUGAUUGAAAACAUAAUAUAAUAGUAAAUAAAUUUCUUUUCAUUAUAGGUUUUACAAUAAAUUUGGCUUUCCUGGGGUUUCGGGGUGUAUAGAUGGCACUCAUUUGCACUUAUGAGAUCUUCUGUAUAUGAAGAAAGGUUUUAGAACCGCAAGCAUUAUCAUUUCAAGAAUGUGCAAAUAAUCUGUGAUAGUGAUCUUAACAUUUUAAGUAUUGAUGCAACAUUUCAUGAUACAUUUGUCUGGCUUAUCACAACUGAAUAUGCGUAUGCAGGACCUGCACCAUAAUAGUGAAAAAGUUUUGUUUUUAGGCAAGUAAAACAUCAUGAGCUCUGUCUCAGUAACCUGACUACAAAAUAAUAUUCAAUCUAAAAGUAUAUUUAAAACUGGGAAGGCUGUUAAUAUAUAGUACUAUAGUAAUGUUUAUUGUCAUACCAGGAACACUGUUGACCAUUGUGAGUAUUGAAAGCCAGUUGGAGAUGCUUGUUGGUACAUAGAGUACUGCAUUAUGAUCAUCAUAUGAUGGCCAAGACCAUAAUUGUUAGCUUGUAUUGCAUAACAUGGCAAACACACAUGGGUUUCCAGUGCCCCAACUCUCUGACGAAGAUGCUGAAAUUGAUGUUUCUUAUCAAAUUCAUAACAUUGUAUUUUUUGGGAGAGAAGAGGAAACACAGCACUUAGCACCAUGUCAACAUUCAAGGGUGGUUCAAUUGGAUUGUGGAGAACAGACAUUAAAUUUAGUCCAACCUCUGUAUUCUAGUAAUUUUAUGUAGAUAUUUUUAAAACUGCUGUUCAUAAUUAUGUGAACUGAGAGGGCAAGAAUAGCCUAAUUAUUUCGGCCUAUAAUUUUUUAAUUGUGUUUAGUGGAAAUAUACAUAUUUCCUUAACAUUUUUGUGUUUAUAGUAAAGGAUGGAUUCAUAACUAUUUGAAAGCAAAAUUGUGAGGUUGUUUUAUUAAGACAAUGUUUUAAUCUGUCGUGCUCAAUUUGUUCUGUAUAAUUUUAUCUUUAUGUUAACCCCGUUUGUAUGUUGUGUUGUUAUAUAUAUUAUUGUAUAUACUGCUGUUUUAAAUAAUAUAAUAGAAUGAAUAACAAAUCGACUAGUAAUUCAUAAUUCUUCUAGAUUUUGUUGGAUACUUACAUGAAUAUUACUUACAAAAUGAAAAACAUAAUUCAUAAUUUAGACAAAAUGUGGAUCAACCACCACUGAUUUUUGUUCAUUGUGAUAAUAAUAAUAAUAUAAAUAUAAAUAUUUAACUGGUCCCGUGAUAAGUUCGUAAAGAACUUGUGUUACAGGCACCAGAUAACGGAAAUAAAUGUAGGAUUUUUAUUAUACACAUACAUAUAUUUAAUAUACAUCCAUAACCCUGGAAAAGACAUUUCUAUUUAUCAUACAAAUAUCUUCCCUUGGCGGGAUUCGAACCCGCGACCCCCUUGUGUAGCGACCAUGUCACUUACCACUACACCAGACGGCCGUUAGAUAAGUUUGAUAAUUAUUGUUUUUGUGUAAUUUUGUUUUAUUUGAAUAAUAAUUCUUAAAUUAGGAAA